AGUGAACGCUGGCGGCAGGCCUAACACAUGCAAGUCGAGCGGCAGCGGGUCCUUCGGGAUGCCGGCGAGCGGCGGACGGGUGAGGAAUGCGUCGGAAUCUGCCUUUUUGUGGGGGAUAACGUAGGGAAACUUACGCUAAUACCGCAUACGACCUACGGGUGAAAGUGGGGGACCGCAAGGCCUCACGCAGAAAGAUGAGCCGACGUCGGAUUAGCUAGUUGGCGGGGUAAAGGCCCACCAAGGCGACGAUCCGUAGCUGGUCUGAGAGGAUGAUCAGCCACACUGGAACUGAGACACGGUCCAGACUCCUACGGGAGGCAGCAGUGGGGAAUAUUGGACAAUGGGCGCAAGCCUGAUCCAGCCAUGCCGCGUGUGUGUAGAAGGCCUUCGGGUUGUAAAGCACUUUUGUCCGGAAAGAAAUCCUGUCGGCUAAUACCCGGCGGGGAUGACGGUACCGGAAGAAUAAGCACCGGCUAACUUCGUG
rnacentral:rRNA from 1 species